rnacentral:rRNA from 1 species
UACGGAGGGGGCUAGCGUUGUUCGGAAUUACUGGGCGUAAAGCGCACGUAGGCGGCUUUGUAAGUUAGAGGUGAAAGCCCGGGGCUCAACUCCGGAAUUGCCUUUAAGACUGCAUCGCUAGAAUUGUGGAGAGGUAAGUGGAAUUCCGAGUGUAGAGGUGAAAUUCGUAGAUAUUCGGAAGAACACCAGUGGCGAAGGCGACUUACUGGACACAUAUUGACGCUGAGGUGGCGAAAGCGUGGGGAGCAAACACGG